rnacentral:miRNA from 1 species
CAUCAAAAUUGUAGAGGACUAG